rnacentral:rRNA from 1 species
CCUACGGGAGGCAGCAGUGAGGAAUAUUGGUCAAUGGACGAGAGUCUGAACCAGCCAAGUAGCGUGAAGGAUGACUGCCCUAUGGGUUGUAAACUUCUUUUAUAUGGGAAUAACAUGUUCCACGUGUGGGAUUUUGUAUGUACCAUAUGAAUAAAGAACGGCUAACUCCGGUCCAGCAACCGCGGUAAUACGGAGGGUCCGAGCGUUAUCCGGAUUUAUUGGGGUUAAAGGGAUCGUAGGGUGAUAGUUAAAUCCGGUGGGAAAGUUUGCGGGCCAACCGUAAAAGUGCAGUUGAAACUGGCAGUCUUGAGUACACGAGAGGUGUGCGGAAUGCGUGGUGUAGCGGUGAAAUGCAUAGAUAUCACGAAGAACUCCGAUUGCGAAGGCAGCUUACUGGACUGCAACUGACACUGAGGCUCGAAAGUGUGGGUAUCAAACAGGAUUAGAUACCCGAGUAGUC